rnacentral:snoRNA from 1 species
AACAUCAUAAUAAUAUCGCGAAUGUACCACUAACAUAUGCAGCUUUUUCUUAAAGUUGUAGGGAAUGGCUAAAUAUUCUAUGCUUUUCCCAUUUUUAGUAGUGCUCAAGCGUAGAUAAAUUGAACGUUGCUGGGCGCCUGAUGUUGAUCGUUUCGAAAUGAAAUAUUGGGAAUCAGCUGUAUCUACAUUU